UACGUAGGGUGCAAGCGUUGUCCGGAAUUAUUGGGCGUAAAGAGCUCGUAGGCGGUCUGUCGCGUCGGAUGUGAAAAUCCAGGGCUCAACCCUGGACCUGCAUUCGAUACGGGCAGACUAGAGUGUGGUAGGGGAGACUGGAAUUCCUGGUGUAGCGGUGAAAUGCGCAGAUAUCAGGAGGAACACCGAUGGCGAAGGCAGGUCUCUGGGCCACUACUGACGCUGAGAAGCGAAAGCAUGGGGAGCGAACAGG
rnacentral:rRNA from 1 species